rnacentral:misc_RNA from 1 species
GAUGAAGAACGUAGUGAAAUGCGAUAAGUAAUGUGAAUUGCAGAAUUCAGUGAAUCAUCGAAUCUUUGAACGCACAUUGCGCCCGCUAGUAUUCUGGCGGGCAUGCCUGUCCGAGCGUCAUUUCAACCCUCAAGCCCCCGGGCUUGGUGUUGGGGAUCGGCGAGCCUCCGCGCCCGCCGUCCCCUAAAUCUAGUGGCGGUCUCGCUGUAGCUUCCUCUGCGUAGUAGCACACCUCGCACUGGGAAACAGCGCGGCCACGCCGUUAAACCCCCAACUUCUGAACGUUUGACCUCGGAUCAGGUAGGAAUACCCGCUGAACUUAAGCAUAUCAAAAGCGGAGGA